GAAUGUUGUGGAGUGUUUGAUUGAGCACACUGAUUUCCAGAGAUUUAAUUAGAGCUCAGUAACAUCCUGCAUGGGUCAGCCCUUCCCAAAAUGAGGAGGAGGGAGGGUGCAACAUCACUAGGCAGCAGCACAAGCACCCUGGCAGCACCCUUUGGGGACAUCCCUCCCUUGGCAAGAAAGGAGCCCAAGUCUCGGCCCUUCUCGUCUCCAGCAGCUCGCUGCUUCCCACUGCGCAGCCAGGCAGGAGGCGGCUGUGGCUCGGCGCGGCUCUACUCGGCUGCAGGGGGCUCCCCAGUGCCGUGCUGCUCGGCACCGUAUGGGCUCUCGACUGCAGAACUGCAGGGCAUUCCCCCCACGCAAGACUUCCACGCAGAGAAGCAUCUCCCUUACCCAUACGUAUUCCCGCACUGUGAUUUCCCAAGGAAAGAAGAGGUCGAUAAUGGAAAGCCUACAAUAGCCCCCUCCCUUGCCUUGUCUACAGCCCGCCCGGGGAGAAGAGAGAUUUCAGCUUUCCUGGAAAAGCGCUGUGUGCGCAGAGCUGCAUCCCUGUGUCCGCAGAGCCGUGCUCGUAAUCAGUCUCAGCCACUACAACUUGAUGGCACCCGGCAACUCCGUGGGGGGUUCUAUUGCAGAAAAGUUUUUUGCAAGGUUGCACAUAGAAGAAAAUAA
rnacentral:lncRNA from 1 species